GCAGAAAGAUAGAAAGGCUCAUUUCUUGAGCCUCUGGGCAUGCACAGAAAAAAAUAAUAAGAAAUAAGAAAUUCAGUAAGUCUACAUGGAGACGUAAAGGAAGAACCUAUAGCUGGGGAUAAACUACAGCAUCCUCAGAAAUCUGUUGGGGCCUGGAGGCUCCCAAGGCAUGGCCAGACGCUCCGUCUUGUACUUCAUCCUGCUGAAUGCUCUGAUCAACAAGGGCCAAGCCUGCUUCUGUGAUCACUACGCAUGGACUCAGUGGACCAGCUGCUCAAAAACUUGCAAUUCCGGAACCCAGAGCAGACACAGACAAAUAGUAGUAGAUAAGUACUACCAGGAAAACUUUUGUGAACAGAUUUGCAGCAAGCAGGAGACUAGAGAAUGUAACUGGCAAAGAUGCCCCAUCAACUGCCUCCUGGGAGAUUUUGGACCAUGGUCAGACUGUGACCCUUGUGUUGAAAAACAGUCUAAAGUUAGAUCUGUCUUGCGUCCCAGUCAGUUUGGGGGACAGCCAUGCACUGAGCCUCUGGUAGCCUUUCAACCAUGCAUUCCAUCUAAGCUCUGCAAAAUUGAAGAGGCUGACUGCAAGAAUAAAUUUCGCUGUGACAGUGGCCGCUGCAUUGCCGGAAAGUUAGAAUGCAAUGGAGAAAAUGACUGUGGAGACAAUUCAGAUGAACGGGACUGUGGGAGGACAAAGGCAGUAUGCACACGGAAGUAUAAUCCCGUCCCUAGUGUACAGUUGAUGGGCAAUGGGUUUCAUUUUCUGGCAGGAGAGCCCAGAGGAGAAGUCCUUGAUAACUCUUUCACUGGAGGAAUAUGUAAAACUGUCAAAAGCAGUAGGACAAGUAAUCCAUACCGUGUUCCGGCCAAUCUGGAAAAUGUCGGCUUUGAGGUACAAACUGCAGAAGAUGACUUGAAAACAGAUUUCUACAAGGAUUUAACUUCUCUUGGACACAAUGAAAAUCAACAAGGCUCAUUCUCAAGUCAGGGGGAGAGCUCUUUCAGUGUACCAAUUUUUUAUUCCUCAAAGAGAAGUGAAAAUAUCAACCAUAAUUCUGCCUUCAAACAAGCCAUUCAAGCCUCUCACAAAAAGGAUUCUAGUUUUAUUAGGAUCCAUAAAGUGAUGAAAGUCUUAAACUUCACAACGAAAGCUAAAGAUCUGCACCUUUCUGAUGUCUUUUUGAAAGCACUUAACCAUCUGCCUCUAGAAUACAACUCUGCUUUGUACAGCCGAAUAUUCGAUGACUUUGGGACUCAUUACUUCACCUCUGGCUCCCUGGGAGGCGUGUAUGACCUCCUCUAUCAGUUUAGCAGUGAGGAACUAAAGAACUCAGGUUUAACCGAGGAAGAAGCCAAACACUGUGUCAGGAUUGAAACAAAGAAACGCGUUUUAUUUGCUAAGAAAACAAAAGUGGAACAUAGGUGCACCACCAACAAGCUGUCAGAGAAACAUGAAGGUUCAUUUAUACAGGGAGCAGAGAAAUCCAUAUCCCUGAUUCGAGGUGGAAGGAGUGAAUAUGGAGCAGCUUUGGCAUGGGAGAAAGGGAGCACUAGUCUGGAGGAGAAGACAUUUUCUGAGUGGUUAGAAUCAGUGAAGGAAAAUCCUGCUGUGAUUGACUUUGAGCUUGCCCCCAUCGUGGACUUGGUAAGAAACAUCCCCUGUGCAGUGACAAAACGGAACAACCUCAGGAAAGCUUUCCAAGAGUAUGCAGCCAAGUUCGAUCCUUGCCAGUGUGCUCCAUGCCCUAAUAAUGGCCGACCCACCCUCUCAGGGACUGAAUGUCUGUGUGUGUGUCAGAGUGGCACCUACGGUGAGAACUGUGAGAAACAGUCUCCAGAUUAUAAAUCCAAUGCAGUAGAUGGGCACUGGGGUUGUUGGUCUUCCUGGAGUACCUGUGAUGCUACUUAUAAGAGAUCGAGAACCCGAGAAUGCAAUAAUCCUGCCCCCCAACGAGGAGGGAAACGCUGUGAGGGGGAGAAGCGACAAGAGGAAGACUGCACAUUUUCAAUCAUGGAAAACAAUGGACAACCAUGUAUCAAUGAUGAUGAAGAAAUGAAAGAGGUCGAUCUUCCUGAGAUAGAAGCAGAUUCCGGGUGUCCUCAGCCAGUUCCUCCAGAAAAUGGAUUUAUCCGGAAUGAAAAGCAACUAUACUCGGUUGGAGAAGAUGUUGAAAUUUCAUGCCUUACUGGCUUUGAAACUGUUGGAUACCAGUACUUCAGAUGCUUACCAGACGGGACCUGGAGACAAGGGGAUGUGGAAUGCCAACGGACGGAGUGCAUCAAGCCAGUUGUGCAGGAAGUCCUGACAAUUACACCAUUUCAGAGAUUGUAUAGAAUUGGUGAAUCCAUUGAGCUAACUUGCCCCAAAGGCUUUGUUGUUGCUGGGCCAUCAAGGUACACAUGCCAGGGGAAUUCCUGGACACCACCCAUUUCAAACUCUCUCACCUGUGAAAAAGGUAAGGCACCAAUGUAUAUUCUUUUAUGCAAAUCAGAAACCGAAGAAUCAUAUAAUUGACAGCUCUCAUAACUUACAUAAUAGGUAAUAUCACUUGUUUUACCUGCUAGCUGUGUCUCAAGUUUAUCCACUUUUCUCCAUUUCCACCUCUGGAACCUUGGUCCAAAUUAUCAUCCUCUUUCACCUGAACUACCACAAUAACCUCAUAGAUUAGUUCCCUGGAGCCCUAUUGACCACCAUGCCUCUUCAAAUCCAUUCUCUGCACAGAAGCCAUAAUUAAUUUCUUUUUUUCAAAAUCGAGGGCUGAUUUUGUUACACCACUCCCUGCUUAAAACCCAUCAGAGACUGUCUACUAUUUAUAAAAUGAAGACAAAACCCUUCAAAGACCCUAUUAGCCUCCCACACAGCCUACCAGACACCUACCUCUCUGGCCAUAUCUUGUCCCAUCCUCUUGUUUUUCAGCACUUCAACCACACUGGGUUCUUUCAGUUCCAGGAAACUCACAUGCUGCCUCCCUUUUUUUUUUUUUUUUUAGACAGAGUCUUACUCUGUUGCCCAGGCUGGGGUGCAGUGGCACAAUCUCGGCUCACUGCAACCUCUGCCUCCCGGGUUCAAGUGACUCUUUUGCUUCAGCCUCCUGAGUAGCUGGGAAUACAGGAGCACGCCACCAUGCCCCGCUAAUUUUGGUAUUUUUAGUACAGAUGGGGUUUCGCCAUAUUGACCAGGCUGUUCUCGAACUCCUGACCUUGUGAUCUGCCCGCCUCAGCCUCCCAAAGUGCUGGGAUUACAAGCGUGAGCCACUAUGCCCGACCACUGCCUCCCAUUUGAACUUUUCCAUACCUUAUGUUUCCUCUGUAUUGAACAGCCUCACUUUUCUUUCUUCAUUUUACCUUUUCUAAUCUUUCUAGCUACAUCAAUUUUUUAUUAUAUGCUUCUCUUUGAUAGCACUAAGAAAGGCAACAAUUCUAUAUUUAUAUUAGUGUGCUCAUUUGAUUAAUGUCUGUCUGCACCCACAAGACUAUAAGCUUGGUAAGCACAGGAUCUGGGUCAGUUUAUGCUCAAUCUACUCUCUCCAGAACCUUACAGAGUGAUGAGAAUAUCAUGUAUACUCAAUAAAUAUUUGAAAAACAAAUGAACAAAAAUUUCAACAGUUCCAUUUUCUUUAGUUACCUGAACAUAAUCGCAAUUUUAGGUUGGAAAAUAACACCUCAUGUGCACUGGAAAGGACCUUUCAGGUGGAAUAUUUAAUGACAAUGUAUUUAGAGAAGCCAAAAUGAAUGAUCUAACUCCAAGAGAUAAAUAUGAAUCCUUUACCACUGCCUCUUCUCUGAAUUCAAGCUUAUCACUUAGAAUCCAUGCUGUGCACUGUUCUUUUCUCCUUUUUUCUUUUGUUUCAGAUAUUCUAACAAAAUUAAAAGGCCAUUGUCAGCCGGGACAGAAACAAUCAGGAUCUGAAUGCAUUUGUAUGUCUCCAGAAGAAGACUGUAGCCAUUAUUCAGAAGAUCUCUGUGUGUUUGACACAGACU